AUUUUGAUAAGAAGAUUUAAUAUAUCUUUUGACUAUAGGAGACCCAGGAAGAACAUCAAGCGCUUUUCCGAAAAAAGUCACCGUUUGAUUGUAAUAGGCGUAAACAUCAUCAAAAAAGGGAUAUGAGUAACUCAUCCCAGAAAUGUUUCCUGAUUAUCUUGUUUUGUAUAUUUUAAGGAGAGAAAUGAGCGUGAACUACAAAGAAUUAACCGAAAACUGCUAUGGUGUUGUCCCCCAGUAGUUGGUAAUGGGAAGCUGGCUAAACACUGUCUUA